rfam:Oryza glumipatula chromosome 9, whole genome shotgun sequence.
UAUAAGCACAGCCAUACAUUUCCGUGCCAUUUUGAUCGUCCGUCUUAUUUAAAUUUUUUUUAUGAUUAGUAUUUUUAUUGUCAUAGAUUAUAACAUAUGAAUAGUGUGACUUAUAUUUUUUUAGUUUUCUUAAAAUUUUUUAGAUAAGACAGACGAUUAAAAUUGAACACAGAAAUUUAUGGCUGCGCUUGUU